UGCGGAGGGAUCAUUACAAGUGACCCCGGUCUAACCACCGGGAUGUUCAUAACCCUUUGUUGUCCGACUCUGUUGCCUCCGGGGCGACCCUGCCUUCGGGCGGGGGCUCCGGGUGGACACUUCAAACUCUUGCGUAACUUUGCAGUCUGAGUAAACUUAAUUAAUAAAUUAAAACUUUUAACAACGGAUCUCUUGGUUCUGGCAUCGAUGAAGAACGCAGCGAAAUGCGAUAAGUAAUGUGAAUUGCAGAAUUCAGUGAAUCAUCGAAUCUUUGAACGCACAUUGCGCCCCCUGGUAUUCCGGGGGGCAUGCCUGUUCGAGCGUCAUUUCACCACUCAAGCCUCGCUUGGUAUUGGGCAACGCGGUCCGCCGCGUGCCUCAAAUCGACCGGCUGGGUCUUCUGUCCCCUAAGCGUUGUGGAAACUAUUCGCUAAAGGGUGUUCGGGAGGCUACGCCGUAAAACAACCCCAUUUCUAAGGUUGACCUCGGAUCAGGUAGGGAUACCCGCUGAACUUAAGCAUAUCA
rnacentral:rRNA from 1 species